UCUCGACCCGCGGCGAGGCUCCGGCGUCGCGCCCUGGUCCUCCCUGUAUCCGGAGAUGGCCCGGCUGCGUGCCGCUCAUACGGAGGCUACUUCGUCUAGGCCCUCAGCUGGCUCAAGAUUUGGCGGCCCUCUGCUCCUCAAUGCCCCACAUCGAGCGCCCAAUCCAGGAAAAUAGCCCCAUUACGCUGCGCUCCUCAUACCCCUGCAUCAUCACAAGAUGGUCCGGCUGGGCACCGCUAUGACGGACGGGCGUUUUAUGUCCAUGGAAGCCAGCUCCGCCACCCAGGCCCUCCUCUGCAAGACCGACGAGGACACUGCUUUCUCCAAGUAGAUCGCGCAGAAUGAAGAAUUGCUACACUGGAACCUGGGCCAUGCAGUGAUUGAUAUUUCGGUUGCGUCGCAGUUUCAUCUAAGGUAAGUUAUGAAUGAUGCAUUGCUUCACAAUAUUAUAUGCCGAUGCUCUCAUAAUUUAAUCUAUCCGGCUUAUAUACAACUUUCUUGGUGAUCGUAUUUUUCAUGUUGUGUGUUGAUGUGUAUCACAACCUAACAUGCAGACAUAAAUAAAUUGUAAUUACUGUUGUAUACCGUUGGUUUUGGUAAAAGCUCAUGGGUUAUAUGUUUUGGUGGGUUUUGGUAAAACCACUUCUCACCUUCAGAGAUAUAUGUUUGUUGCUUGCUCUACACAUGUGUGGUGCUCCAUCUCAUUCAUUCGUUUGAUCUGACCAUGGUGCAUGGCAUACAUGUAUGGAGAAACUUUGUAUAGUGUUGUUGGCUGGUUGCAUCUACAAUUUAAGGUAAUCUAUGUGACUUAGGAUGAUGCAUGCAUGAAUUAAACCUGGCUAUUAGAUUAACUAACCUUGCAAUAUGAAACACUACUAUAUGUACUCCUUCAACUUAACAAAAAUGAUGUGCCCACUUGCUUUGUCAAUUGCAAAGAGGUGUGUGUGAUAUGGAGAAUUCUGAACAUGGAAGAUGAAAAACAGAUGUUGGCUGAGUGUGCUGGUCCUAAAGUGUUCCUUCAACGCUUCUUCACCUGGGAGGCCUCCAAACAAAUGCUAUGUAUUUGCUCUUAUGUGGACGUGGUGGCUAAUCUGAAACAAAGUCAAUGUUGGAGAGAAAAGAUGCCAUGUGAAUGACACACUGUAUUGAAUCAGAAGAAAUGUUGUAGAUUAUGAGAUGUUAUGUCUGAAGAAACAAACAACGACUGUGACAGUGGCUCAAAGAUGGAAACCGCCUGGAGCUGAUGUGCUGAAAGUGAACAUUGAUGGUAGUUUCUUCUCAGAUUCAGCUGAGGGAGGCUCGGGUUUUAUAGUCAGAGACAACUCAUGCAAUGCGGUGGCCUUAGGAGCAGGAAAACAUCGUCAGCUUCAAGACCCUAUGCAUGCAGAGGCAGAGGCGUGCUUGCAUGCAUUUCAGGAGGCUCAAACUUGUGCAAUGAGGAGAAUUACUAGACAUACACACAUGAACUGGUGAAAGCCACCACAUCAAAAGAUUAGGACCUGGCACCUAACGGUGUUCUCUUCCAGGAGAUCAAAGCUUACCUAGCUUUACAUUUUGUUAUGUUUAAAUAAAGUAAAGUACUGUCCUAGACUUUGUAAUAAGGUUGUUGAUGCCCUUGUGGCAUUCGGUGUGAAGAGUUGGUUGCUAGCGAUCUUGAUGUGCACUCUGGUUAAUGUAAUAAGGUUUUCCAUUAUAUUUUUAA